rnacentral:rRNA from 1 species
UGGGGAAUAUUGCGCAAUGGGCGAAAGCCUGACGCAGCGACGCCGCGUGGGUGAUGAAGGCCUUCGGGUCGUAAAGCCCUGUCGGGAGGGACGAAACCUCGGUGACCUAAUACGUCACCGACCUGACGGUACCUCUUAAGGAAGCACCGGCUAACUCCGUGCCAGCAGCCGCGGUAAUACGGAGGGUGCGAGCGUUGUUCGGAAUUACUGGGCGUAAAGCGUGCGCAGGCGGUUUUGUAAGACAGAUGUGAAAUCCCCGGGCUUAACCUGGGAACUGCGUUUGUGACUGCAAGGCUGGAGUACGGCAGAGGGGGGUGGAAUUCCACGUGUAGCAGUGAAAUGCGUAGAGAUGUGGAGGAACACCGAUGGCGAAGGCAGCCCCCUGAGCCUGUACUGACGCUCAUGCACGAAAGCGUGGGGAGCAAACA